rnacentral:rRNA from 1 species
ACCAGACUCCUACGGGAGGCAGCAGUGGGGGAUAUUGCACAAUGGGGGGAACCCUGAUGCAGCGACGCCGCGUGGGUGAAGAAGCGCCUCGGCGCGUAAAGCCCUGUCAGCAGGGAAGAAAAUGACGGUACCUGAAGAAGAAGCCCCGGCUAACUACGUGCCAGCAGCCGCGGUAAUACGUAGGGGGCAAGCGUUAUCCGGAUUUACUGGGUGUAAAGGGGGCGCAGACGGCGAUGCAAGCCAGGAGUGAAAGCCCGGGGCCCAACCCCGGGACUGCUCUUGGAACUGCGUGGCUGGAGUGCAGGAGGGGCAGGCGGAAUUCCUGGUGUAGCGGUGAAAUGCGUAGAUAUCAGGAGGAACACCGGCGGCGAAGGCGGCCUGCUGGACCGUGACUGACGUUGAGGCUCGAGAGCGUGGGGAGCAAACAGGAUUAGAUACCCCAGUACGA